rnacentral:lncRNA from 1 species
CUAGGACGUGCGUCUUUCGAGCCCAUUUUACGGAUGGGGAAACUGAGGCUUAGAGGCUGAGGCCCUUCCCCAGAGCCGCAGCAGGCCUGGCACCGGGUCUGCCCAGCUCCCCGGGAGGCUGCGGGAGGGCCAGGUGGCAUGCAAGGAGUUAAGCGGUAGGCAGUGCCGUGGCUCCGCGCGAGGAGCGCGCCGGGCUGAGGCGUGCUGGCGGCGGCGGCGGCGCUGGGAGCUCGGGCUCCAGAGACGUGAAGUCCGGGGGAUCGAGCGAGGCAGGAAGGGAGGCAGAGAGAGAGAGGGAGGCGAGGCGGCCGGAGCCCCGCGCCCAGCCGCAGCCCGCGCCCAGCGCGCAGCGGGCCCGGGCAUCCCCGGGCGGGUGCCUGCGCGGGGCCUCGCCUUGGCGCGGGGCACCCGCAGUGCCGCCCGCCCGCCAGCCCGCCCGAGCGCUAGGCUCGCAGGAGCCCGGUUUGCACUUCCUCUCGCCUCCGCCCGCCUCCCCGGCUCACCGGCUGGCGUCGCCACCGCCUCCUCGUCCCCGGCCACCGCUUUCGCCGCUGCUGCAAUCCAGGACGCACACUCUUCCACUUUCCCGCUGGAGGCGCGGAGGAUGCCCCUUGCACCAGACCCGGAGAAAUAGCCCCCCGGGCCGCCGGGAGGAGACUAGGCGGCGAGAAAGAAAAUCCAGUCUCCCUUUCCUGGAUGCCACUGCAGCAGCUGGCAGCUGGGAAGGCACCCACAGAGCGGGUGCGCCAAGCGGGACGCGGGAGUCGCAGAGAGAGAGACCCCGGGCGCUGGCUGGGCUCCGUUGGCAGAGUUUGCAAAUGACUGAGACCCUCAGGGGAGGUUGAUGUGUGAAGCACCUACGAGUGCCUCGUGGAAUACUACGAGCAUGUGAACACCCCACGGCAGAGAAUUCCGGAUUGCCACAGGGAAAGGCGACUAGGCUUCCUAGAUGGCAAAUUUGCCCUGAUUCCCAGCCUGCUGCCUGCAUUAGUCAAGGUUCUCCAGAGAAACAGAACCGAAGAGAGAGACAGACAUGUUAUAAGGGAUCGACUUAAUUUCAGAAGCUUUGAAUCUCAAGGUCUGCAGUUAAAGAGCUGGACACUCAGGAGAGCUGAUGGUAUAAGGUCCAGUCUGAGGCUGAAGGCAGAAGACAGACAUGGUGUCCUAGCUGGAAGACACUCAGGCAGAGAGUGACUUCUCCCUUAGGCCACCUUCUCAUGUCGUAUCUCCUUCUCUGACGCUGACCCUCCCACCUCCCUCUUCUAAGGACCCUUGUGAUAAAGUUGUGCCCACUGGAUAACCCCAGGUAAUCUCCCCAUCCCCAGACCUUUAACUUAAUCGUAUCUGCACAGUCCCUUUUGCCUGUAAGGUAACAGAGUCAAUGGUUUUAGGGAUUAGAACAUGGGCAUCUUUGGGGGAGGGGGUCUUCAUUCUGCCCACGACAAAAUGGUUCUAGAAAGCUUCUCAGAAGGAAAAUAUCUUACCGUUGCCAUGCCCAAGAAUGAGGGCCACAUGUAUUGGGGAGCGCAACCUGCUUUCCUCAGCUAUGGAUUCAUAUGUUAAUCUCAUCCAGAGACACCCUUUCAGGUACACCCAGAGUCAUGUUUGACCAAAUGUGUGGGCACCCAGGCACCGUCAAGUGGACACAUAAAAUCAACCAUCGCAGUGAUGUUGUGAAAAGAAGGCUGAGAGGGGAGUGAAGAGACCUAGGUGUGGGUUCUGGAUCUGCUGUGUGAUGUUAGCCAAGACUCAUUCUUUCCUGGGGCCUCAGUUUCCAAAUCUGUACGAUGGGGAUGACCCCUAAGGUUCCCUCUUGCUCAGACAUGAUGUGGUUUUGCUCUUAGC